GAUGAACGCUGGCGGCGUGCCUAAUACAUGCAAGUCGAGCGAACAAACUAAUAUGUUUCUCCUCGGACGUGAGCGGCUGACGGGUGAGUGACACAUGGAUAAGCAACCUGUAGGACAGGGAUAACUUCGAGGAACCUAAGCUAAAACCGUAUAAUAUAAUACAGCACAUGGUUCCAUAAUGAAAUGCUGUUUGGCUGUCACUUAUAGAGGUAUCGGCUCCGCAUUAGAUAGUUGUGAAGGUAACGGCGUACCAAGGCAACGAUGCGUAGCCGACCUGAUAGGGUGAUUGGCUAGCCUGGAACUGAGACACGGUCGAGACUCCUAGACGAGGACGCAGUAGGGAAUCUUACGCAAUGCGGGAAAGGUUGACGGAGCAACGCCGGGUGAGUGCUGAAGGUCUUAGGAUGGUAAAACUCUGUUAUUAGGGAAGAACAAAUGUGUAAGUAACUAUGAACGUAUUGACGGUACCUAACUAGAAAGCCACGGCUAACUACGUG
rnacentral:rRNA from 1 species